GUGUCAGCAGCCGCGGUAAUACCAGCUCUCCGAGUGGUGGGGACGUUUAUUGGGCCUGAAGCAUCCGUAGCCAGCUGAGCAAGUCCCCAGUUAAAUCCAGCGAUUUAAUCGUUGGACUGCUGGGGAUACUGUCCGGCUUGGGGGUGGGAGAGGCCGACGGUAUUCCCGGGGUAGGGGUGAAAUCCUAUAAUCCCGGGAGGACCACCAGUGGCGAAGGCUGUUGGCUAAAACAUGCCCGACGGUGAGGGAUGAAAGCUGGGGGAGCGAACCGGAUUAGAUACCCGGGUAGUCCCAGCUGUAAACGAUGCAGGCUAGGUGUUAGGGCGGCCACGUGCCGCUCUAGUGCCGCAGGGAAGCUGUUAAGCCUGCCGCCUGGGGAGUACGGCCGCAAGGCUGAAACUCAAAGGAAUUGGCGGGG
rnacentral:rRNA from 1 species